rnacentral:rRNA from 1 species
AUUGAACGCUGGCGGCAGGCCUAACACAUGCAAGUCGAACGGUAACAGGAAGAAGCUUGCUUCUUUGCUGACGAGUGGCGGACGGGUGAGUAAUGUCUGGGAAACUGCCUGAUGGAGGGGGAUAACUACUGGAAACGGUAGCUAAUACCGCAUAACGUCGCAAGACCAAAGAGGGGGACCUUCGGGCCUCUUGCCAUCGGAUGUGCCCAGAUGGGAUUAGCUAGUAGGUGGGGUAACGGCUCACCUAGGCGACGAUCCCUAGCUGGUCUGAGAGGAUGACAAGCCACACUGGAACUGAGACACGGUCCAGACUCCUACGGGAGGCAGCAGUGGGGAAUAUUGACCAAUGGGCGCAAGCCUGAUGCAGCCAUGCGGCGUGUAUGAAGAGGGCCUUCGGGUUGUAAAGUACUUUCAGCGGGGAGGAAGGGAGUAAAGUUAAUACCUUUGCUCAUUGACGUUACCCGCAGAAGAAGCACCGGCUAACUCCGU